CCUGCCCUCUGUCAGUUUAAAGCCAUUCUGUCUUCUCUGAUCACCACAUUUCCUUGCGAAAAUCCUUUCCAGCUCUCUUAUAAUCCCCUUGUAACAACUAAAGUUGUUACAAGGUCUCCUGGAGCCUCCUCUUCUCCGGGGUGAACAGCCCAAACUCUCUCAGCCUCUCUCCAUGGGAGGUAAUGUUCCCACUGCUUUUCAUUCCCAUUCCCAUCCCAGGAUUUAUGCCUUUUUCCUUGCAGUGUUUUUUUACUUAAACAGAUUUUUAUUUUUUUCACCAAAUUGGAAAUGAAUGGCAAGUACUAGAUCUGCUACUGAAAUGUUUUGAUUGGGGGCGGGGGGGAAAUAAGAUUAGCAUUUAAGACAGGUUCAACUCCCAGUGAAACCAGUGUCCUUAAGUAAUUAUCUUAGCCAGGAUGAAUUAUCCACUGGAAGGAUUUACCACUCUCCACAGGCUCUGAGUCCAACUUACCCUGAAUCUUUGUUAACACAAAGAAAGUUGCAUCAAGGUUAGCCAAAUCCCCCUGUAUUUCACUAGCACAUGACAAUAUUAGUCAUGUGUGUUAGUGCAUGCAUGGAUCUUAUUCCAAAGCAACAGAAUCAUGGGGGGCUUUUUUGUAUUUCAUUGUGUUCUUAUCAGUUUUUCGCAUGCACAGUAUGUUGGGAAACAGAAAAGCUGAGAGGAAAUGGUAAUCAGACAUUCUGGAACAGGAUUGGGUAGAUACAGUUCCUGACCCUGCCUAUGUUGUUGCUGCAGAAAUAAUUUUCCCAUAUCAUGAGUAUUUUGUGUCCAAAAUUGUGGUACUAAUUUGUGCCAAAUUUGUGAUAUGGAAAUUAUUUUCAGUAAGGAAACAUCUGAGUUGUGAAGCAAGGAAAUCAAGUGGUUUGCCAUGUUAUUGGGGCUGUGUUGCUAAGAUGAAAUGGACUGUACAUAUUUUCAUCUUCUAGCUGGAAAUUGUUGCUUAAGAAAAGUAGUUUCAUUUGCAAGGCUAUAUGGAAAAUGUGCCUGUAAACAUUUUUGUAAGUCAUGCUCUAUGUUGAAGCUUCAGCAAAACUCUGAGAAACUAAUGCAUUUAACAGAAUCCCUAAAAAAAAAAAAGAAAAAGAAAAAGAAAGAGAACACUUUCUUCUUCAAUUCAUAUAUAGUUUUCAUCAUCAUUGUAGCUGUGGCAUUAUGUUCUCCUACUCCAAAAGUAUUAUUUUGAACUAAAGAAAAUUAGAAGUUAAAUAAUACUGUGAAAAUGAAAGCUAGUUAUAUUUUCUACAUUCUUUUUCAAAAUGGAUAAUGCUUAACUGACUUACUAAGUUCUUGGAAGACUUUUUUAUUCUACAGAAGAGUUAAAUAGUGCAAAAUAGAGCUUCUCUGGCAGUUUCAUUUUAUUUAAAGUCUUCCUUCUGGCACCAGAAAAAGAAAUUUAUAUAGGCAUGGAUGGUCACUUGCUACAGACAUGAAUAUAAAGCCGGAAAGGGCAAGAAAGAUUAUGAUGAGAAAAGUCUUUUGAAAUAAAUGAGUGUGGAAAACUGGGGCAGUCACAAGUCAUGGAUUUUCUUUUGCAUUGAUGUGCACUGAUUUGUAUAUUAUAAAAUAUUGCUUGCACCUCUGGAGAAGAACAAUUAUAAUAUGAGUCACAAUGGAUGUUGCUUAAUUAGAGAAAUAUAGAUUGGAUUUUUUUCUAGUCAGAACCUUAAGGGAGCUCCUUAAAUAUAAGGCAGUAUAAGGAAAUAUUUAUUAAUAUCAUUAAAGAUUUUCAUAAUCACUUCUAGAUGACUAAAAGCCUCUGGGUGGAAUGAAAUUUUGGGUCUUUCUACCACAUAGGAAAUGACAUUGUGAUUAACAUUAACACUUAUUUCUCAUAUUUUAUCCUGAGCCAAUUUCUAGUUCAUGUACCUUGAAUAUGAAGAUAAAUCAGACCCAUACAUGCUGGAUUCAAAGAAAAGCCUUUUGUGGAAGAACUGAAGGUGGCAGGUCUCAAGCUCAUUUCCAUUGAACAACUGAAAUGUUGAUGUACUCUGCUGCAGUGUGACUGUAUAUCCUGAAUUUAUAUUCAGAUCUCUGACAGAAGACAUUUGGUGUAUCCAGUCACAUGCUGUGGAAGGAGCUGAUGCCUUUCCAGAAGAAAUUAAUCACAUGGAGCCAUGACUCUAAAUCCAUGCAUAGAGAUCUGCAAGAAAACAGUGUGCAGAUGAUUGCUUUUCUAAUACUAUUACACCUUCCAACUCUUUUCAGCUAAGGGGAGUUUCUGAACUGGCUGUUAUCCUGCAUAUUUUAGAAUUUUUUGAGAAUUUCAGUGUGUCAUGCGCUUGUCUAGUGAGAUCUUCAACCAAUGUCAAUUUUGGCUGUACACAGCAGUUUUUUACAGGAAGGCCCCCAGUGAUAACACACAUUCUGUGUAAAACCACUGCUUUUGUUGUUUAUAUGAAAAUUACUUCUACUCUCAUUAUUUGGCAAUCAGUAGUUCUUGUCUUAAAAAGAAUGAUGAAAAUUUGAGUCCUACCUAUGCCUUCCAUGAUACUCAUAAUUUUA